AGUGAACGCUGGCGGUAGGCCUAACACAUGCAAGUCGAACGGCAGCACAGUAAGAGCUUGCUCUUACGGGUGGCGAGUGGCGGACGGGUGAGGAAUACAUCGGAAUCUACUUUUUCGUGGGGGAUAACGUAGGGAAACUUACGCUAAUACCGCAUACGACCUACGGGUGAAAGCAGGGGAUCUUCGGACCUUGCGCGAUUGAAUGAGCCGAUGUCGGAUUAGCUAGUUGGCGGGGUAAAGGCCCACCAAGGCGACGAUCCGUAGCUGGUCUGACAGGAUGAUCAGCCACACUGGAACUGAGACACGGUCCAGACUCUUACGGGAGGAAGCAGUGGGGAAUAUUGGACAAUGGGCGCAAGCCUGAUCCAGCCAUACCGCGUGGGUGAAGAAGGCCUUCGGGUUGUAAAGCCCUUUUGUUGGGAAAGAAAAGCAGCAGGUUAAUACCCCGCUGUUCUGACGGUACCCAAAGAAUAAGCACCGGCUAACUUCGUG
rnacentral:rRNA from 1 species